rnacentral:tRNA from 1 species
GGGGAUUUAGCUCAGUGGUAGAGCGCUUGCCUAGCAAGCACAAGGCCCUGGGUUCGGGCCUGGGUUCCCA